rnacentral:rRNA from 1 species
ACAUCCAGAGAUUUAGCAGAGAUGCUUUAGUGCCUUCGGGAACUCUGAGACAGGUGCUGCAUGGCUGUCGUCAGCUCGUGUUGUGAAAUGUUCGGGUUAAGUCCCGNAACGAGCGCAACCCUUAUCCUUUGUUGCCAGCACGUAAUGGUGGGAACUCAAAGGAGACUGCCGGUGAUAAACCGGAGGAAGGUGGGGAUGACGUCAAGUCAUCAUGGCCCUUACGAGUAGGGCUACACACGUGCUACAAUGGCGCAUACAAAGAGAAGCGACCUCGCGAGAGCAAGCGGACCUCAUAAAGUGCGUCGUAGUCCGGAUUGGAGUCUGCAACUCGACUCCAUGAAGUCGGAAUCGCUAGUAAUCGUAAAUCAGAAUGUUACGGUGAAUACGUUCCCGGGCCUUGUACACACCGCCCGUCACACCAUGGGAGUGGGUUGCAAAAGAAGUAGAUAGCUUAACCUUCGGGAGGGCGUUUACCACUUUGUGAUUCAUGACUGGGGUGAAGUCGUAACAAGGUAAGCGUAGUGCU